rnacentral:rRNA from 1 species
CCUACGGGUGGCUGCAGUGAGGAAUAUUGGUCAAUGGGCUUACGCCUGAACCAGCCAAGUCGCGUGAGGGAAGACUGCCCUAUGGGUUGUAAACCUCUUUAGGCGGGGAGCAAUGCCGGGCACGCGUGCCCGGAGUGAGAGUACCCGCAGAAUAAGCAUCGGCUAACUCCGUGCCAGCAGCCGCGGUAAUACGGAGGAUGCGAGCGGUAUACGGAUUUAUUGGGUUUAAAGGGUGCGUAGGCGGAUUUUUAAGUCAGCGGUAAAAUGUCCGGGCUCAAACCGGGCCGGCCGUUGAAACUGGGGAUCUUGAGUGGGCGAGAAGUAUGCGGAAUGCGUGGUGUAGCGGUGAAAUGCAUAGAUAUCACGCAGAACUCCGAUUGCGAAGGCAGCAUACCGGCGCCCGACUGACGCUGAGGCACGAAAGCGUGGGGAUCGAACAGGAUUAGAUACCCGGGUAGUC